UCACUUUGGGAUGGACCCGCGCCGUAUUAGUUAGUUGGUGAGAUAAAAGCCCACCAAGACGAUGAUACGUAGCCGACCUGAGAGGGUAAUCGGCCACAUUGGGACUGAGACACGGCCCAGACUCCUACGGGAGGCAGCAGUAGGGAAUCUUCCACAAUGGACGAAAGUCUGAUGGAGCAACGCCGCGUGAGUGAUGAAGGUUUUCGGAUCGUAAAACUCUGUUGUUAAAGAAGAACAAGUGUUAGAGUAACUGUUAACACUUUGACGGUAUUUAACCAGAAAGCCACGGCUAACUACGUGCCAGCAGCCGCGGUAAUACGUAGGUGGCAAGCGUUGUCCGGAUUUAUUGGGCGUAAAGCGAGCGCAGGCGGUUUUGUAAGUCUGCUGUGAAAGCCCUCAGCUCAACUGAGGAAGUGCAGUGGAAACUACAAA
rnacentral:rRNA from 1 species